GAUGAACGCUGGCGGCGUGCCUAAUACAUGCAAGUCGAGCGAACAGACGAGGAGCUUGCUCCUCUGACGUUAGCGGCGGACGGGUGAGUAACACGUGGAUAACCUACCUAUAAGACUGGGAUAACUUCGGGAAACCGGAGCUAAUACCGGAUAAUAUAUUGAACCGCAUGGUUCAAUAGUGAAAGACGGUUUUGCUGUCACUUAUAGAUGGAUCCGCGCCGCAUUAGCUAGUUGGUAAGGUAACGGCUUACCAAGGCAACGAUGCGUAGCCGACCUGGGAGGGGGAUCGGCCACACGGGAACUGAGACACGGUCCAGACUCCUACGGGAGGCAGCAGUAGGGAAUCUUCCGCAAAGGGCGAAAGCCUGACGGAGCAACGCCGCGUGAGUGAUGAAGGUCUUCGGAUCGUAAAACUCUGUUAUUAGGGAAGAACAAAUGUGUAAGUAACUAUGCACGUCUUGACGGUACCUAAUCAGAAAGCCACGGCUAACUACGUG
rnacentral:rRNA from 1 species